AACCUGGUUGCAUAAGUGUACAAACCAUUAAACUAAUACUUUUUUGAAGCAGCUUUUGAUUUUAUUACACCAUUCAGUCUUUUUGGGUAAGAGUCUAUCUGUGUGGCACACCUUAAUUUGGCAAUACUUUGCCGCUCUUUCUUGCAGAAUCGUUCCAGAUCCAUCAAAUUUUAAGGGUAUCUCCUAUGCACAGCCCGCUUCAGCUCCUCUAAUGUUGCCAUAGGUCUCUUGGCAGCCUCCCUGACGUGGACAUUUCUCUACAGUUUAUGAGACAUGCAGCAAGUGUAUGCUAGCUGAUGUCCUGCCGGGUAGAUCAGUACGUUGCUAUUCAAUUGUGUGCAUCUAUCCUCCCUACCACACAAAGAGAUUAGUUCUGAUUGGAUUUCUUCCCAAAUUGUCCCUCCCUAACAUUUUCUUCUCAUUUUUAUUCAAUGUAUAGUGAAAACAAAAGAAUUGGCCUUGCUGUUCCGAUGCUUUUGGAGGGUACUGUAGUUCGCUAGCUAGAUGUGUCCUUUAUAUAACUUUUCAGUAAGAACAUGACUUAGAUAUCUAGCAUUAGAUAGCAAGUUUCUUGAUAUAAUUUUUAGACAGGCAAUGUUCGCUUGUUAAAGCACUAUAAAUUAGGCAUGUUAGCUAACUAACAAGCUAAACCUGUUAAAUUCUUAUUUGAUAUGACAAUUAGCUAUUUAGCUGAGAGGAAUUGGGCAAUGCAAAGACAGAGCAUUUCAGACCAUUUAUCUCACCUAAUUGCCUGUAACCACAACUGUCUUCUGUUGACAUGGAAAGGUGUCCAAUUUAAAAGUAUAUAGUAAAAAAAAGGGGGAGGGGGGUGGAGUGUUUAUGAACACUUUUCUGAUUCUGAGACUCAAUGUGACAUUUUAGAAAAAAAUUCUGGUUUGCUGUUAAAAAUCACUAAAGUCUUCCACUAUGUUUCUGCAACCAGGAGGCGUGACUGAUGUUACAGUGUCAUGUCUCAAUCUAGGGUUUUGGACAUCAAGGCAUGAUGCUCCUUUUUCCAAAGAAAGGAAUAGAGUUCAAACUGUCAGUUCAAACCUUGAGUAAUCUUUAGCUUCUAAGAAGUAGCUUUGUCUGGUGCUACUGAGUAAAUAAUGUUGCCCUUCUGCACUAUACACAUUUUAUGAUUUUUUUUUUUUUUUUUUUUUUUAAAUAAAAAUGUAUCUGCUGUGUAAUGAAUAUCAGCUGCAACAAAAGGUCUUGGCUCAGUAGGAAGGAACAUCUACAGCUGUGCUGGGAAUGUAUUUUUAUUUGUGUUAAUUGUUUGCAGAUUUCAUUUCUUUUUAUGUUUUUAAACCAUCUGUUAAAUGAAGAAAAAGACUGUUUUAUAAUGAUCCUCCCCCCAAACAAACCUCAAAAAAGGGACAGAACACAGUGCCAUGAGCAUAGGUAUUUG
ensembl:lncRNA